rnacentral:lncRNA from 1 species
CUCUAUCUGAUCUAGGGAUGCCAACGGAUCGGAUUCGGACGGUUUUAAAAAAUUCAAAUCUGAACCCGACUACAGAAAUUAAAACUCGAAUCCAAAAUCAAAACCGUCGGAUUUUGAAAAUGCAUAAAAAAUCAAACUUGCAAAACGGAUCAAAAUCCGAAUCUAAAAAAAUUAUGCUCUUUACCAAAUUUCAAACGUAAUCAUAUUCAAAUCUACAUUCUUAAAAUACAAAUUCAAAUUUUUAUAUAUUAUAUAAUAUAAAACUAGUUCGGUUUUUGUUCAGAUUCAGGUAGGAUAUAGAUAUCUUAUUUUGGCAUCUAAAUAAAAUCUUAGGCAUUGUGCGUAAAUUAUCACAAAAUAACUUAUUUCG